AUGGAUUUCAUCUCUGCACUUCCCAACUCGCAAGGCAAAGAGGUGAUUCUGGUAGUAGUAGACAGGCUGACCAAAUACGCUCACUUCAUUCCACUGGCUCAUCCCUACUCAGUUAUGACCGUCUUUGAGGCACUGAUGGACAAUGUCAUUAAACUGCAUGGGCUUCCUGUUUGCGUUGUAUCUGACAGAGAUGCUAUUUUCACCAGCUCUCUGUACCAGGAACUAUUUUCAGCCUUUGGAGUGCAAAUCAGAUUCAGGACCGCAUCACACCCUCAGACCGAUGGACAAACAGAGCGAGUGAAUCAGUGUCCCGAAGCAUAUUUAAGAGGCAUGGUUUUUCAAGAGCCGAAGAAGUGGAUGAAAUGGCUACCACUAGCAGAACUUUGGUACAAUACGAGUUACCAUUCUUCACUGAAAUGCACUCCAUUCCAAGCACUUUAUGGAUACAAACCACCCCAAAUUGGAGAAUAUUCUGUGGAACCCGCCUUAUCUCCAGAAGCAAGGAUGACAAUUUCUGAGAGAGAGCACAUGAUGCAAAGGUUGAAGGCAAAUUUGAAACAUGCUCAAAACAGGAUCAAAUACUUUGCUGACAGAAAAAGAACAGAAAGAGAAUACCAAGUGGGAGACAUGGUAUAUCUCAAGAUACAACCUUACAGACAGAAUGCAUUUGGUUUAAGAGGAUCUCUGAAACUAAGAUCAAAGUUUUAUGGCCCUUACAAGAUUCUGGAAAGAGUUGGGGAAGUGUCAUACAAGCUACAGCUCCCAGAAGGUACCAAUAUCCAUCCAGUUUUCCACAUCAGUCAGUUGAAGAAACAUGUGGGGCAUCAAGCUGUACCUCUGCCUCAUGUGCCCCUGGUCACACCAGAAGGUUAUAUCAAAACGAUACCAGUCGCUGUCCUAGACCGCAGAAUCAUUCAAAGGAACAAAACACCAGUUGGUCAAUGUUUGGUCCAAUGGGAGAGUCUGGCACCGGAUGAUGCCACCUGGGAGGAUGCAGCAUUCUUGAACAAGACAUUUCCGGGGCAUAAGCUUUUUCGCCUCGAGGACAAGGCGAUCGUCAUGGCGGCGGCAUUGUCAGGCCCUGAACCUCGCGCAUACUGA
rnacentral:rRNA from 1 species